rnacentral:rRNA from 1 species
AGCAACUUGGAGGAAAGAAGGCAAAGCCGCUGCUGAUCAUAUAGUAUUGGUGGCAGUAACUCUGUUACAUAAAUUUCUGGGUAAAUUUUUGAUUAUGACUUAAUUUAUCUAUAAGUCUUGACCAAGUCACGUGCCAGCAGUCGCGGUAAUACGUGGAAGACAAGUGUUAUUCAUCUUUAUCAGGUUUAAAGGGUACCCAGACAGUUAAUUAAGCCUCCACAAAAGGGACUGAUUAUACUAGAGUUUUAUGAAAGAAGGCUAGAACGGUGAGUGUAGAGAUGAAAUAUGUUGAUACCACUUGGAAACUGGCAACGGCGAAAGCAACCUUUUAUGUAAAAACUGACGUUGAAGGACGAAGGCUCAAUUGAAAGAACAGGAUUAGGUACCCUAGUAUUUUGAGCAGACAAUGAUGAGUGUCAUAGAUAAGUAUAUAAGUAAUAAUAAAAUUAUUUGAUUUAUCUAUAAAUGAAAGUGUAAGCACUCCACCUCAAGAGUAACAUGGCAACAUAGGAACUGAAAUCAUUAGACCGUUUCUGAAACCAGUAGUGAAGUAUGUUGUUUAAUUUGAUAACCCACAAAGAACCUUACCAUAAUUUGAAUGUUUUAGAUAAAAAAAAUUUUAUCUAUUUCACAGGAGUUGCACGGCUGUCUUCAGUUGAUAUCGUGAGAUUUUGGUUAGAUCCAUUAAAUCAACGUAAACCCUUAUUUUAUUUUAUACAUAAAAUAUUCUUACCACUAUACUGGUUAAGAUAAUAGGGACUAAGACAAGUCACCA